rnacentral:lncRNA from 1 species
AGACAGGGACUGGGCGACCUAGAACGAGGUUCCCAUAUCGUGUUUUAAAAAGCAAAACUUAGUCUCUGUUUUGCUUUUUGUUUCAUUGUUUUUAGCUUUAAAGAGUAAGAGCAGCGCACCCGGCUCCCUCCUGCUAAUUAGAUUUCAGAUUCCCCUCUGGCCUCAGUGCUCAUUCCGGGGAAGACACCUGCUGAGAUGUCUUUUUCCCCCUCCCCCAACCAAACCACUCAGGUCCUACCUGCUCUUUCCCGGCUUGAUGCGGGCGUGUUUUCCUGUAUGUAUUUUUUCGUGCGGCCACAAAAAGCAUCAGCUGGGGUUCCCGAAGGUCAGAAAAUGGCUAUUGAUUAAUCUACUAGAAUAGUUGCCGAGAGAAAUAAAAACGACGUAAAAUAGCAGGGAACCUAUAAAUAAAGAAGCCAUAACUGGCUACUUGGAGUUGUUAAACGACUUAGCAUAUGAAAAAAUCGGAAAUGAGGCGCUGGGGAAGGAGCUGGGAUUGGCAGCGGCCUGGGUAAGUCGAGUGGAUCCGGGAAGAGGCCUGGUGUCUUCAGGUUAGACGCAGCGCCCAGGGGCGGCUGAAGAAACGUGAGGGGUGUGGACAAAUCCUCCAAGAUUUAACUUCCAAGAAAACCGGCGGCGGAGCGGGUGGAGGAGGCGAGGAUGUGUGGCCAAUGCACGCGGAGUGCAAGGCCGCCUAGUUGGGAGCCGCAAGAGCCUGCCUGGUGUGGCAGGCACACGGAACCCAAUCCCUGUCUGUCCGCUGCGGCCUGGGAGGGGAGCGCCGGCCUCACCAGAGGAAGGAGCACGAGGGGAGGAGUUCCGAGAGGAAAUAAUUAGUGAAAUAUUUGCAGAAGAUGCUGGGAUGUGGAUUUAAUUCCGGAUGGACAGUGGUGCUUCUGAUUCCCUCAGUCUGUUUCCCCACCCACGAUCUCCUCUUUCCUUGGCCUAGACACACCAAAAAUAAUUCAAUAAAAUAAAAAUAAAAAUUUAAAAAUCUGUAAACUUGCUUCAUUACAGGCAUUGAGACACACAGAUUGACUUUCAUCCCCAUUAGACAGUUUCCCAGGAUAUAACACUACUCAUCUGAGGCUGGGAGCAGGGUAGGGGGUG